rnacentral:piRNA from 1 species
UGAAUGUACUGUUUUUCUGGAAGGUUC